ACGCACGCUGGCGGCGUGCUUCACCCAUGCAAGUCGCACGGAAAGGCCCUGCUUUUGUGGGGUGCUCGAGUGGCGAACGGGUGAGUAACACGUGAGUAACCUGCCCUUGACUUUGGGAUAACUUCAGGAAACUGGGGCUAAUACCGGAUAGGAGCUCCUGCUGCAUGGUGGGGGUUGGAAAGUUUCGGCGGUUGGGGAUGGACUCGCGGCUUAUCAGCUUGUUGGUGGGGUAGUGGCUUACCAAGGCUUUGACGGGUAGCCGGCCUGAGAGGGUGACCGGCCACAUUGGGACUGAGAUACGGCCCAGACUCCUAUGGGAGGCAGCAGUGGGGAAUAUUGCACAAUGGGCGGAAGCCUGAUGCAGCAACGCCGCGUGCGGGAUGACGGCCUUCGGGUUGUAAACCGCUUUCGCCUGUGACGAAGCGUGAGUGACGGUAAUGGGUAAAGAAGCACCGGCUAACUACGUG
rnacentral:rRNA from 1 species